ensembl:piRNA 21ur-3993 ncRNA
UUCUUUUCUGAAAGGUGUCCA